GUUGGGUGCAGUGGUGUUCACCUGUAAUCCCAGCAACACAGGAGGCUGAGGCAGGAGAAUAGCAAGGUCAAGACCAGCUUCAACAACUUAGUGAGGCAUUAAGCAACUUAGGAAUAACUUGUCUCAA
rnacentral:sRNA from 1 species